GGCUCUUUGAAAUUCACACAUAAAGAGUCGGACCUGCCCAGUGAUAAAUUUUUUUUAACGGCCGCGGUACUCUGACCGUGCGAAGGUAGCAUAAUCAUUUGCCCUAUAAUUGAGGGCUAGUAUGAAUGGUUUGACAUGAGCAUAGCUGUCUCCUUAAAAUUUUAUAAAAUCUGGUUUUUGGGUGAAGAAACCUAAAUUAAAUUGAAAGACAAGAAGACCCUAUCGAGCUUUAGAAUAGUUAAUUAAAAAAUAUAAAUAAAACAAUUAAUUUUAAUUAAAGACUUUGGUUGGGGCGACUGAGGAACAUAUAAAGCUUCCUUAAUUAAAUAACGCUAAUAAGCAAUGAUCCAGAAAAUCUGAUUAAAAAAAUUAGUUACCGUAGGGAUAACAGCAUAAUCUUUUUUGAGAGCCCUUAUCGAAAAAAAGGUUUGUGACCUCGAUGUUGGACUAGGAUAUCCUAAAGAUGCAGAAGUCUUUAAUGGUUGCUCUGUUCGAGCAUAAAAAUCCU
rnacentral:rRNA from 1 species